rnacentral:rRNA from 1 species
AUGAAAUGCGUGGUGCAGAGCAUGAAGAAGGUGUUCUUCUACGAGUUCCAAGGGUCGAGAAGCGAGGUUGCUUUCCUCAGGUUCAUUGCGGAGAGAGGUCGGGUGCUGGAGCUGAUGGUGGUCGUGGUGGCCAAGGCAUGUUUCUCCUCGGUGGAUGAUGAUGUGAAUGUGAAGCUGAAGCCUCUGACGGGUGCGAAAUGGAACAGCAAAGCUUGCAAACUACAGAUCAUCGAGAGCCCACGCACUGAUGUCGCAGGUCCACUCUGCAGGCACAAGAUAGCUUCUGAUUUUGGGUGGGCUGACCCUUUCGACCUCAGGUACUACAAAGAAGAAAGGAUCUCUGUAAGUUAG